CCUCAGGCACCGAGGAGACCAGAGCCGAGGACAGGAAGCCUGAGGAUGGGAUAGGGGCAGCCCCCAGGGCCUCCCCUGCUGGCUGAUGGAGAGAGCCUGCUGAGGAAGGGGGACUGAGACUCUAGGAUGACGCAGCCACACACACUGAGAUGGAGCACCCCCUGUCCCCCAAGCUUCGCCCGAGAGGCUGAAAGAGGAGAGACAGGCGAGGCGGACACGCAGACAGUGGGCAGGGCCGCCUGGGUCUUGUUGGUCCGCGUGCCGCCAGGCCUCUCUACCACCAUCACUACCACCCUCCUCUUCCCAUUCUCAUGAUCCACCCUCAGAGUGUCUACGCCGUGCCCGGAACCAUAUGCACAUCAGCUUCUAUUCUCAUCACAACCCUCCAAGGCUGCGCUUUACACGUCCACUUUACAGAGAGGGCAAGGAGGCUUGGGAUGGGCACAACCAGGACUCUGACUUAGGACUUUUUUUAGCACCAUCUUUCCCUCAAACCUGCCACUGCUCCAGAGAAGGUUCUAAACAUGGAAGUCAGGAUCCCUGGGUGGUGCAGCGGUUUGGCGCCUGCCUUUGCCCAGGGCGCGAUCCUGGAGUUCCGGGAUCGAGUCCCGCAUCGGGCUCCCAGCAUGGAGCCUGCUUCUCCCUCC